UACGUAGGGUGCGAGCGUUAAUCGGAAUUACUGGGCGUAAAAGCGUGCGCAGGCGGUUUCACAAGCUCGAUGUGAAAGCCCCCGGGCUUAACCUGGGAAUGGCAUUGAGGACUGUGGAGCUCGAGUGCGGCAGAGGGGAGGUGGAAAUUCCACGUGUAGCAGUGAAAUGCGUAGAGAUGUGGAGGAACACCGAUGGCGAAGGCAGCCUCCUGGGCCGACACUGACGCUCAUGCACGAAAGCGUGGGGAGCAAA
rnacentral:rRNA from 1 species